rnacentral:rRNA from 1 species
AUGAACGCUAGCUACAGGCUUAACACAUGCAAGUCGAGGGGCAGCAUGGUCUUAGCUUGCUAAGGCCGAUGGCGACCGGCGCACGGGUGAGUAACACGUAUCCAACCUGCCGUCUACUCUUGGACAGCCUUCUGAAAGGAAGAUUAAUACAAGAUGGCAUCAUGAGUCCGCAUGUUCACAUGAUUAAAGGUAUUCCGGUAGACGAUGGGGAUGCGUUCCAUUAGAUAGUAGGCGGGGUAACGGCCCACCUAGUCUUCGAUGGAUAGGGGUUCUGAGAGGAAGGUCCCCCACAUUGGAACUGAGACACGGUCCAAACUCCUACGGGAGGCAGCAGUGAGGAAUAUUGGUCAAUGGGCGAGAGCCUGAACCAGCCAAGUAGCGUGAAGGAUGACUGCCCUAUGGGUUGUAAACUUCUUUUAUAAAGGAAUAAAGUCGGGUAUGGAUACCCGUUUGCAUGUACUUUAUGAAUAAGGAUCGGCUAACUCCGUGCCAGCAGCCGCGGUAAUACGGAGGAUCCGAGCGUUAUCCGGAUUUAUUGGGUUUAAAGGGAGCGUAGAUGGAUGUUUAAGUCAGUUGUGAAAGUUUGCGGCUCAACCGUAAAAUUGCAGUUGAUACUGGAUAUCUUGAGUGCAGUUGAGGCAGGCGGAAUUCGUGGUGUAGCGGUGAAAUGCUUAGAUAUCACGAGGAACUCCGAUUGCGAAGGCAGCCUGCUAAGCUGCAACUGACAUUGAGGCUCGAAAGUGUGGGUAUCAAACAGGAUUAGAUACCCUGGUAGUCCACACGGUAAACGAUGAAUACUCGCUGUUUGCGAUAUACAGCAAGCGGCCAAGCGAAAGCGUUAAGUAUUCCACCUGGGGAGUACGCCGGCAACGGUGAAACUCAAAGGAAUUGACGGGGGCCCGCACAAGCGGAGGAACAUGUGGUUUAAUUCGAUGAUACGCGAGGAACCUUACCCGAGCUUAAAUUGCAGAUGAAUUACGGUGAAAGCCGUAAGCCGCAAGGCAUCUGUGAAGGUGCUGCAUGGUUGUCGUCAGCUCGUGCCGUGAGGUGUCGGCUUAAGUGCCAUAACGAGCGCAACCCUUGUUGUCAGUUACUAACAGGUUCCGCUGAGGACUCUGACAAGACUGCCAUCGUAAGAUGUGAGGAAGGUGGGGAUGACGUCAAAUCAGCACGGCCCUUACGUCCGGGGCUACACACGUGUUACAAUGGGGGGUACAGAGGGCCGCUACCACGCGAGUGGAUGCCAAUCCCCAGAACCUCUCUCAGUUCGGACUGGAGUCUGCAACCCGACUCCACGAAGCUGGAUUCGCUAGUAAUCGCGCAUCAGCCACGGCGCGGUGAAUACGUUCCCGGGCCUUGUACACACCGCCCGUCAAGCCAUGGGAGCCGGGGGUACCUGAAGUGCGUAACCGCGAGGAGCGCCCUAGGGUAAAACUGGUGACUGGGGCU